rnacentral:pre_miRNA from 1 species
AACUUUCUGAAUCCGUAUAGAGAUUUCGUCAGACACCAACCCGUUGAAGCUGAUGAGACUUCCAAGAUAAGUGAAGUU